rnacentral:rRNA from 1 species
GACGAACGCUGGCGGCGUGCUUAAAACAUGCAAGUCGAACGGACUUCUCAUGAAGCUUGCGAUUGAGAAGUUAGUGGCGGACGGGUGAGUAACGCGUGGGCAACCUGCCCCUGAGCCCGGGAUAACAGUUCGAAAGGACUGCUAAGACCGGAUAUACUUGCGGUGAAGCAUUUCACUGCAAGGAAAGGGAACGCUCAGGGAUGGGCCCGCGUCCCAUUAGCUAGUUGGUGAGGUAACGGCCCACCAAGGCGACGAUGGGUAGCCGGCCUGAGAGGGUGAACGGCCACACUGGGACUGAGACACGGCCCAGACUCCUACGGGAGGCAGCAGUUGGGAAUCUUCGGCAAUGGGCGCAAGCCUGACCGAGCAACGCCGCGUGAGUGAUGAGGGUUUUCGGAUUGUAAAGCUCUGUCUUCCGGGACGAUAAUGACGGUACCGGAGGAGGAAGCCACGGCUAACUACGUG